rnacentral:tRNA from 1 species
UGUCCAGUGGUGUAAUGGUAGCACUUCAGAUUCUGGAUCUGCCUGUGAGGGUUCGAAUCCUUCCUGGACAA